GGGCCAGAUCCGGCCCGCAACAUCAUUUUAUAUGGCCCCGCAAAAGCAAAUCAAGUGCGUGAACGCCCAUGAUCAUUGCUAAAAUCUGUACCAAAAUGUCAAAUUGUCAUGUGGAAUAAAUAACGUUGAGAUUUUGUAAUAAUUUUAAGUAUAAUAUUGUCCAUGCUUGCAAUUUUGUUGGAAUCAUUUGGUGACGCCCUUGGGUUUUGUUGGGUAUCCUGUCAAAAUAAUACAAUCACAGGUCAUUGGGUAUUCAUCAUUAUUCUUACGAACAUAUCCAAUGACCUCAUGCCAAACUAUUAUAAGUAUACGCUGCUUUACUUCUUUUUUUUUGUGUAUGUAUAUAUUUUUUUCCCCUAAAUUUCUAUGCUAGUACAACUGCUAAUACUUUAUCUGGAUGAAAUUGUGAAGUGGCCAUUUUAAUUCUUGACACAA